UCUCCGUUGGUGAACCAGCGGAGGGAUCAUUACCGAGUUUACAACUCCCAAACCCAAUGUGAACGUUACCAAACUGUUGCCUCGGCGGGAUCUCUGCCCCGGGUGCGUCGCAGCCCCGGACCAAGGCGCCCGCCGGAGGACCAACCAAAACUCUUUUUGUAUACCCCCUCGCGGGUUUUUUAUAAUCUGAGCCUUCUCGGCGCCUCUCGUAGGCGUUUCGAAAAUGAAUCAAAACUUUCAACAACGGAUCUCUUGGUUCUGGCAUCGAUGAAGAACGCAGCGAAAUGCGAUAAGUAAUGUGAAUUGCAGAAUUCAGUGAAUCAUCGAAUCUUUGAACGCACAUUGCGCCCGCCAGUAUUCUGGCGGGCAUGCCUGUCCGAGCGUCAUUUCAACCCUCGAACCCCUCCGGGGGGUCGGCGUUGGGGAUCGGCCCUCCCUUAGCGGGGGCCGUCUCCGAAAUACAGUGGCGGUCUCGCCGCAGCCUCUCCUGCGCAGUAGUUUGCACACUCGCAUCGGGAGCGCGGCGCGUCCACAGCCGUUAAACACCCAACUUCUGAAAUGUUGACCUCGGAUCAGGUAGGAAUACCCGCUGAACUUAAGCAUAUCAAUAA
rnacentral:rRNA from 1 species